rnacentral:rRNA from 1 species
CCUACGGGUGGCAGCAGUGAGGAAUAUUGGUCAAUGGGCGAGAGCCUGAACCAGCCAAGUCGCGUGAGGGAGUACUGCCCUAUGGGUUGUAAACCUCUUUUGUCGGGGAGCAAAAACCGGACGUGUCCGGCUGUGAGAGUACCCGAAGAAAAAGCAUCGGCGAACUCCGUGCCAGCAGCCGCGGUAAUACGGAGGAUGCGAGCGUUAUCCGGAUUUAUUGGGUUUAAAGGGGGCGCAGGCGGAUUUUUAAGUCAGCGGUAAAAUCGUGGGGCUCAACCCCAUCCAGCCGUUGAAACUGGGGAUCUAGAGUGUGCGAGAGGUAUGCGGAAUGCGUGGUGUAGCGGUGAAAUGCAUAGAUAUCACGCAGAACCCCGAUUGCGAAGGCAGCAUACCGGUGCACAACUGACGCUCAGGCACGAAAGCGUGGGUAUCGAACAGGAUUAGAUACCCUGGUAGUC